UACGUAGGGGGCAAGCGUUGUCCGGAUUUACUGGGCGUAAAGAGCGUGUAGGCGGCCAAACAGGUCCGUUGUGAAAACUCGAGGCUCAACCUCGAGACGUCGAUGGAAACCAUCUAGCUAGAGCCCGGAAGAGGAGAGUGGAAUUCCUGGUGUAGCGGUGAAAUGCGCAGAUAUCAGGAAGAACACCCGUGGCGAAGGCGGCUCUCUGGUACGUGACUGACGCUGAGACGCGAAAGCGUGGGGAGCGAACAGG
rnacentral:rRNA from 1 species